GACGAACGCUGGCGGCGUGCCUAAUACAUGCAAGUUGAGCGCUGAAGGUUGGUACUUGUACCAACUGGAUGAGCAGCGAACGGGUGAGUAACGCGUGGGGAAUCUGCCUUUGAGCGGGGGACAACAUUGGGAAACGAAUGCUAAUACCGCAUAAAAACUUUAAACACAAGUUUAAAGUUUGAAAGAUGCAAUUGCAUCACUCAAAGAUGAUCCCGCGUUGUAUUAGCUAGUUGGUGAGGUAAAGGCUCACCAAGGCGAUGAUACAUAGCCGACCUGAGAGGGUGAUCGGCCACAUUGGGACUGAGACACGGCCCAAACUCCUACGGGAGGCAGCAGUAGGGAAUCUUCGGCAAUGGACGAAAGUCUGACCGAGCAACGCCGCGUGAGUGAAGAAGGUUUUCGGAUCGUAAAACUCUGUUGGUAGAGAAGAACGUUGGUGAGAGUGGAAAGCUCAUCAAGUGACGGUAACUACCCAGAAAGGGACGGCUAACUACGUG
rnacentral:rRNA from 1 species